GGUCCCGCAUGGGGAUAUUUGCUAAAGAUUCAUCGCUGAUAGAUAGGCAUGCGUUCCAUUAGGCAGUUGGCGGGGUAACGGCCCACCAAACCGACGAUGGAUAGGGGUUCUGAGAGGAAGGUCCCCCACAUUGGUACUGAGACACGGACCAAACUCCUACGGGAGGCAGCAGUGAGGAAUAUUGGUCAAUGGCCGAGAGGCUGAACCAGCCAAGUCGCGUGAGGGAUGAAGGUUCUAUGGAUCGUAAACCUCUUUUAUAAGGGAAUAAAGUGCGGGACGUGUCCCGUUUUGUAUGUACCUUAUGAAUAAGGAUCGGCUAACUCCGUG
rnacentral:rRNA from 1 species